rnacentral:lncRNA from 1 species
UGGAAAUCUAAAUGAUAUAUGAAUUAAUAUAGGUCCUUUAUUAAAACAUCUUGUAAUAGUAUGUAUUUUUCAAGCCAUAUUUACUAUUUUUACAAGACAGGGAAAAUCUUAAGUCCAUAAAAACGUACAAAGGGAGCCAGACAUGGCGGCGCACAACUUUGAUCCCAGCACUUGGGAGGCAGAGGCAGCUGGAUUUCUGACUUUGAGACCAGCAUGGUCUAUAGAGUGAGUUCCAGGAUAGCCAUGGCUACACAGGAACCCUGUCUCGGAAAAAACAAAAACAAACACCACCACCACCAAAAUAUACAAAGGAAAAUAUAAUUAAUGACUUUGUUACAUUUUCUAAUUUUUGAUUCUUAAGGUAGAUUGUUUAAGU